rnacentral:lncRNA from 1 species
AGGUUAAGAAAGUGUAAAAACAUCAAAACAAAUGACCAAAAGGCCCCUGAAAUAACAUAAAAAUCGUCCAAGCAAAACACGCGGAGUGACCUAGCAUAGUCGCUCCAGGAGGUCACUCCCGACGCGUUUCUUUGUGUCUCGACCCGUCAAAACGCGAGUGACUUGAGCUGGUCUCUCUGGCUGGUCGCUCUGGCUGGGAGUGACUUGAGCUAGUCGCUCUGGCUGGGAGCGACCUCGGUAGGUCGCUCUGAGAGGUCACUCUGCGAUGCUCGACCAGGAUGGAUAUGCCUCUAGUAAAUUGAUCAUAACUCCUUCAUUACAUCUCCAAAUGACUUGAAACCACUU